AUUAUACUUCCUCCGUUCCGAAUUACUUGUCGCAGGUAUGAAUGUAUCUAGAUGUAUUUUAGUUCUAUAGUUCUAGAUACAUCCAUUUCUGUGACGAGUAAUUUGGAACGGAGGGAGACUAG
rnacentral:pre_miRNA from 1 species